rnacentral:rRNA from 1 species
ACCUUUAGGUUAAAGCGAGGGCCCUCGUGCACGCUUUUUAAUGAAAACUUUACAGUCUUUUUAGGGUUGUUUAAAAAUACAUAAGUAUCAGUGUAGUUUUACGAUGGACGUUUCAAAGUCCGUUUUUCCAAUUUAUAAAAUCGUACACGUUUUUUUUCUUUAAUCUGUGGUUUACAAUGUGUUUUUCCAGUAGAAUUAUAUAAAAAAGUGGCUGUUUUGUGAUGACGAGACAAGGGGUACUUUUAACAGUUCGUACGAACACGUGAUUGUGUUUGUAGGUUGUUUUACUCUUAAAAAAAUUUUGUCAAAUGGUCAAAAAAACUCCAUGAUAAAGUACGCCCUCACGUACGAGGUCCUCGGUUUUGCGCGGAGGGGGAAGCAGGAAAAGGAAAAAAAAGUUUCUUUAGACGUCUUCUCGAGCACAAGUAGGUAACUACCCCCGACGUUUUCGGGCCUUCAUUCUACGUUUGGCUCUUUUGCUUAUUCUAGGCAUGCUUAUAUAGGAAAAGAACUCGAGAAAGCGACGGUGCUUGAAAGUGAAAUAUGCUAGUGUUGUAUUUGUUGCUUAUUUUCGACGCAAGUCGUAGAAGCUUGGCGGCCGGGUUUUCCCAAACCUACCGUAUAUAAGAGCUCGUUACCGGUGGAGGGCUGGCCAAUAAGGUGGUCCUUUGGUGCAGGUGACCGGUACAGCCGCUCUGUUACCGCAGCGCAAGUAGGUAGAAGUAGAAGAUCGAUCGUAUCCCUGGCAGAGCUCUUCGGCGGUGGCCGCGUAAACCGUGCAGAUGGACUGCAGUUUAGCUCGACGGACCGCCUCUGUUGGCUGGUCCGUAGUGUUAGCAUCAUGCACUGUUGCCCGAUGCGACGUUUAGACACCGUGCGUGCUGGGCUCCUUCUCAGCCGAGGUGUCCACUAACAAUGCAAUGCAUGCUCAGAUACGGCGUUGAUAUAUUGCGUCAAGCUUUUAAGGUUUAGGUUGAAGUGCACGCACUAUAUUAGAGCUUGCUUUUGCUCUCAGUCUAUCGCUCUACCUUGCGUGCACACCGCGUUUUAAUCACAUAUUGAAAGUUGUUUGGCUUGUUCGUACUUGGUUCUACGUUGGGUCGGUUCUUUUUGUGGUUUAGGUCGUUUCAUGUCCUCUUCAGGCACUGGUUCUCUUGUUUUUUUUAUCAUAGACCGGGAAGAGGGGAGUCACUGAUGUGGAUCGGUUGUUCACAGUCAUGGUCGUAUCACGGUCUGCCAAGCAAUAAGCUGCUUUUAUCUUUCCCAAUAAAGUCUCCCACCAACAAGGAGUGAACCGGUAGUACUGGAACUGCUUGAGCAGCAUCAACUAGACCGGCAGCGGUAGGUGCAGCCGGAGCGCCUGGUAGAGGAGGUGGAGGAGCCUUUCGAAGAGGGGCUCCAACCAGUAGUGGACCGCCUCGAGGCGACGUC